GAUGAAGAACGUAGUGAAAUGCGAUAAUUAAUGUGAAUUGCAGAAUUCAGUGAAUCAUCGAGUCUUUGAACGCACAUUGCGCCCCCUGGUAUUCCGGGGGGCAUGCCUGUCCGAGCGUCAUUGCUGCCCUCAAGCACGGCUUGUGUGUUGGGCUUCCGUCCCUGGCAACGGGGACGGGCCCAAAAGGCAGUGGCGGCACCAUGUCUGGUCCUCGAGCGUAUGGGGCUUUGUCACCCGCUCCCGUAGGUCCAGCUGGCAGCUAGCCUCGCAACCAAUCUUUUUAACCAGGUUGACCUCGGAUCAGGUAGGGAUACCCACUGAACUUAAGCAUAUCAAUAAGCGGAGGA
rnacentral:misc_RNA from 1 species